rnacentral:lncRNA from 1 species
UGUCAAACAGUGGACAGGAAUAUGCUGUGUCUAUAAAAUGUGAUGUCUGAGGAAACCUAUAACCUAGCUGUCCAAUGGUUGCCACGCCUAGGUUUAUUGUUGCCAUGCUGGGGUGGAAAGGUCUCUCUCUCUCUCAAUUCAAUUCAAUAGACUUUAUUGGCAUGGGUAACAUAUGUUUACAUUGCCAGAGCAAGUGGAAUAGACUGUAAACAAAAGGGAAAUAAAGAAUAAGAAAUGAGCAUUUAACAUUACACACACAACAGUUUUAAAAUAAUAUAGACAUUUAAAAUGUUAUAUUAUUGGCUAUGUACAGUGCUGUACAUAGUUGAAGUAUGAAAGGGAAAACAAAUAAAUACAGGUUGUAUUUACAAUGGUGUUUGUGCUCCACUGUUUGCCCUUUUCUUGUGGCAACAGGUCGCAAAUAUUUCUGCUGUGAUGGCACACUGUGAUAUUUCACCUAAUAGAUAUGGGAGUUUAUCAAGAUUGGAUUUGUUUUCAAAUUCUAUGUGGGUUUCUGUAAUCAGGUAAAUAUGUGUCUCUAAUAUGGUCAUACAUCAGGCAGGAGGUUCUAAAGUGCAGCUCAGUUUCCACCUCAUUUUGUGGGCAGUGGACACAUAUCCUGUCUUCUCUUGAGAGCCAGGUCUGCCUAUGACGGCCUCUCUCGAUAGCAAAGUCAUGCUCACUGAGUCUGUACACAAUCAAAGCUUUUUAUUUUGGGUCAGUCACAGUGGUCAGGUAUUCUGCUACUGGAUAUUCUCUGUUUAGGGCCAAAUAACAUUCCAGUUUGCUCAGUUUUUUGGUUGAUUCUUUCCAAUAUGUCAAGUUAUUAUCUUUUUGUUUUCUCAUGAUUUGGUUGGGUCUAAUUGUGUUGCUGACCUGGGGCUCUGUGGGGUCUGUUUGUGUUUGUGAACAGAGUCCCAGUACCAGCUGGCUGAUGGAACUCUUCUCCAGGUUCAUCUCUCUGUCGAUGUGUUAGGGCCGUGUGAAUAGCGAUGGAAAUGUCAUCGUCCGUGGAGCUGAUUGGAGUGGGUCCAAUGUGCCUGGCAUUCUGGACUUGAUGUAGGCCAUGACGAGCCUCUUGAAGCACUUCAUGAUGACUGGGGUAAGUGGGACAAGGCGAUAGUCAUUUGAGCAUGUCACCUUGUUUUCCUUGGGCACCGGGAUGAUGGU